rnacentral:rRNA from 1 species
CGGGAAAAGCUCAAAUUUAAAAUCUGGUGGCCGAAAGGUUGCCCGAGUUGUAAUUUGUAGAGGAUGUUUUGGGUACCGCACUGGUUUAAAUUUCUUGGAACAGAAUGUCAGAGAGGGUGAGAAUCCCGUCU